GACAGAGGGUGCAAACGUUGUUCGGAAUUACUGGGCGUAAAGCGUGUGUAGGCGGCCAUGCAAGUCGGAUGUGAAAGCCCUGGGCUCAACCCAGGAAGUGCACUCGAAACUGCGUGGCUUGAGUACUGGAGAGGUUGGUGGAAUUCUCGGUGUAGAGGUGAAAUUCGUAGAUAUCGAGAGGAACACCGGUGGCGAAGGCGGCCAACUGGACAGAUACUGACGCUGAGACACGAAAAGCGUGGGGAGCAAACAGG
rnacentral:rRNA from 1 species